AUUGAACGCUGGCGGCAGGCCUAACACAUGCAAGUCGAGCGGGUGAAGGGAGCUUGCUCCUGGAUUCAGCGGCGGACGGGUGAGUAAUGCCUAGGAAUCUGCCUGGUAGUGGGGGAUAACGUCCGGAAACGGGCGCUAAUACCGCAUACGUCCUGAGGGAGAAAGUGGGGGAUCUUCGGACCUCACGCUAUCAGAUGAGCCUAGGUCGGAUUAGCUAGUUGGUGGGGUAAAGGCCUACCAAGGCGACGAUCCGUAACUGGUCUGAGAGGAUGAUCAGUCACACUGGAACGGAGCCACGGUCCAGACUCCUACGGGAGGCAGCAGUGGGGAAUAUUGGACAAAGGGCGAAAGCCUGAUCCAGCCAUGCCGCGUGUGUGAAGAAGGUCUUCGGAGUGUAAAGCACUUUAAGUUGGGAGGAAGGGCAGUAAGUUAAUACCUUGCUGUUUUGACGUUACCAACAGAAUAAGCACCGGCUAACUUCGUG
rnacentral:rRNA from 1 species